GACGAACGCUGGCGGCGUGCUUAACACAUGCAAGUCGAACGCUGAAGCUCAGCUUUUGUUGGGUGGAUGAGUGGCGAACGGGUGAGUAACACGUGAGUAACCUGCCUCCUUCUUUGGGAUAACGCCCGGAAACGGGUGCUAAUACUGGAUAUUCACUGGUCUUCGCAUGGGGGUUGGUGGAAAGGGUUUUUCUGGUGGGGGAUGGGCUCGCGGCCUAUCAGCUUGUUGGUGGGGUGAUGGCCUACCAAGGCUUUGACGGGUAGCCGGCCUGAGAGGGUGACCGGUCACAUUGGGACGGAGAUACGGCCCAGACUACUACGGGAGGCAGCAGUGGGGAAUAUUGCACAAUGGGCGCAAGCCUGAUGCAGCGACGCCGCGUGAGGGAUGGAGGCCUUCGGGUUGUGAACCUCUUUCGCUCAUGGUCAAGCCGCAACAAUGGUUGUGGUGAGGGUAGUGGGUAAAGAAGCGCCGGCUAACUACGUG
rnacentral:rRNA from 1 species